rnacentral:lncRNA from 1 species
CCACAGAUGAUACUCAUGUGAACCAUUCUACCCUACUGCACAGUGACCGGAGUGUGUCAUCUCUUAGUGAUACUAAGAAGAACUUUCACUCCAGUUGAUCAAGGCUGCAGUGUUUCAGCAAGUGACACCAGGAUAUCAGACUGAGCAAGAUGAGUUCCCUGUGAUCAUACACAUGAUCAGGAGAAGGAUUAGAAAGUCAUUAAGGUUCUAUGCUCUCUACAAGGGCUUUUAUUUUUCAAAUAAAC